rnacentral:rRNA from 1 species
AAGAAAGUAAGCAAGGGCGUAUGGAGGAUGCCUUGGCUCUCGGAGGCGAUGAAGGACGCGACAAGCUGCGAUAAGCUGCGGGGAGGAGCAAAUAUCCCGUUAUCCGCAGAUUUCCGAAUGGGGCAACCUGCAUGACUGAAGGUCAUGCACCGAUAAGGAGCGAACGCAGGGAACUGAAACAUCUUAGUACCUGCAGGAAGAGAAAACAAUAGUGAUUCCGCGAGUAGUGGCGAGCGAAAGCGGAAAAGCCCAAACCGUUGGUGUUUUUGGCACCGGCGGGGUUGUAGGACUGCGUCGUAUGUGAGACAACAGAAGUGGAAGCAUCUGGAAAGUUGCAUCACAGGGGGUGACAAUCCCGUACACGUAAUGUUAUUUCAUGUUAGCAGUAUCCUGAGUAGGGCGGGACACGAGAAAUCCUGUCUGAAACAGCGGGGACCAUCCCGCAAGGCUAAAUACUCCCGGGAGACCGAUAGUGAACCAGUACCGUGAGGGAAAGGUGAAAAGCACUUCGAACAGAAGAGUGAAAGAGUACCUGAAACCAUACGCUUACAAGCGGUCGGAGCCACCUUGAGUGGUGACGGCGUGCCUUUUGUAUAAUGAGCCUACGAGUUGCUCAUCUCCGGCAAGGUUAAGUAUUUAAGAUACGUAGCCGAAGCGAAAGCGAGUCUGAACAGGGCGUUCAGUCGGAGGGGGCAGACGCGAAACUUUGUGAUCUACCCAUGACCAGGUUGAAGUUACGAUAACACGUAAUGGAGGACCGCACCGAUAAACGUUG